UUUGCUGCAGCCACUCGAGGAGUCCGAUUCGCCGAGCAGAGCCAGGCGGCCCGUGGUGAUAUUAGGGACAGCCUACGUAACGGGAUAAAAACAGAUGAAAAGCUUCCGCCGUUCGUAAUAAUCCUGUCCUCAAACGACAGCGGGGGGAAACGAACCCGGCGUACCGAGCGAACCCUGCUAUACCCUGAUGCCGCCGCGUUCACUUUCGCACACUGGGAUCGGCGACGGAGGCGUCGCCUGCCGCGUUCGAUUUCGCGUUCACCGGCGUGCUGACGAGCGUACCCUGGGAAACGGCGUACCUCAGCAAGACGCCGGUCAACGCGAAAGUGAACGCGGCAGCGGCAGCGGCGUGCGGCGCGCAACGGUGCACCCGGUGAACCGCGCAAGGACUUCCUCGUUUAAAGGAACCCGGGCGCCCUCGAACAACUGCGACACAAAACCCCGCCGAAGCGUUCAAGUUUCGACCCGUUUCAUCGUUCCAGUGCCUUGGGGACAAGUUCACGGACUUUCUCUACUCCGGGCGAGGAAACGACAACAACAGGGACAUCGAGGCAACGGUGACGAACGGAGGCAGCACGUAGAAUCUGCCUUCCUCAGCGAUUGCCUUUGAAAUGAACAUGCCCCCCCCCCCCACCGACACCAAGCUCCUGAGCCGGACUGCUGCUCCCCGGGACUAGCUGUGUGGAUCUUGGAAGGACCCCCACCCCAGAGUGAAGGUUAGGAAUGACUCUUCCUCUCCUCGCUCCUUCCCGAGGAAGUCCUCGCAACGUCGUCCAUAUUUUAUGCCAAUGAUUGUUGUGAAAGUUCUG
ensembl:lncRNA